rnacentral:lncRNA from 1 species
UCAGGCACCUAGUUAUGGAUUAUAAAAAGGGAAAUUGCAACAGCAAGCCCUAAUAAUUCUAAUAGAUUUUAAAACAAAUUACAAUUAAAGAUUAGCAAAUAUAAUCAAACAUCAAUCAAAUUCAAUUAAAAUUUCAAACAAAUUAUGUAAGAACCACAAAGUAUUCCUAUAAAUCUUUUAAAGAAUCAUAAAGAAAUAACAUAGAAAUUCAAAAAAAAUAUACUAAAAUAGAAACCUUAAUUAAAUCUUAGUCAAAAUCUAGUCAAAUCUAAUUCUAAAAAAAUCUAAUCAAAUCUAAUCAAAUUCUAAAAAGAUCCUAAAUAUAUCUUAAAUAAUCCUAAUCAAAUCCUAAAUAAAUCCUAACUAAAUCCUAACAAAUUCUAAUCAAACAAUAAAUAAAUCCUAACCAAAUUCUAAACAAAUCCUAAACAAAUCCUAAUCAAACUCUAAACAAAUCCUAAACAAAUCCUAACCAAUUCCUAAACAAAUCUUAAUCAAAUCCUAAAUAAAUCUUAAACAAAUCCUAAAUAAAUCCUAACCAAAUCCUAAAUAAACCUUAAUCAAAUCCUAACCAAAUUCUAAAUAAAUCCUAAAUAAAUCCUAAAUAAUUUUUAAAUAAAUAUUAAUUAAAUAUUAAUUAAAAUUUAAACAAAUUCUAAAUAAAUCUUAACCAAAUCCUAAUCAAAUUCUAAACAAAUCCUAAAAAAAUCUUAACCAAAUUCUAGUCAAAUCCUAAAUAAAUCCUAAACAAACCUUAACCAAAUGCUCAAUAAAUCCUAGUCAAAUAUUAAACAAAUCCUAAUCAAACCCUAGUCAAAUCCUAAUAAAUCUUAGCCAAAUUCUAAUCAAACUUUAAACAAAUCCUAACCAAAUCCUAAUCAAAUUUUUAAAAAAUCCUAAUCAAAUCCUAAUCAAACUUUAAACAAAUCCUAACCAAAUCCUAAUCAAAUCCUAAAUAAAAUCUAAUCAAAUCCUAGUCAAAUC